CCUACGGGAGGCAGCAGUGGGGAAUUUUGGACAAUGGGCGAAAGCCUGAUCCAGCAAUGCCGCGUGAGUGAAGAAGGCCUUCGGGUUGUAAAGCUCUUUUGUCAGGGAAGAAACGGUGGGAGCUAAUAUCUCUUGCUAAUGACGGUACCUGAAGAAUAAGCACCGGCUAACUACGUGCCAGCAGCCGCGGUAAUACGUAGGGUGCAAGCGUUAAUCGGAAUUACUGGGCGUAAAGCGUGCGCAGGCGGUUUUGUAAGUCUGAUGUGAAAUCCCCGGGCUCAACCUGGGAAUUGCAUUGGAGACUGCAAGGCUAGAAUCUGGCAGAGGGGGGUAGAAUUCCACGUGUAGCAGUGAAAUGCGUAGAUAUGUGGAGGAACACCGAUGGCGAAGGCAGCCCCCUGGGUCAAGAUUGACGCUCAUGCACGAAAGCGUGGGGAGCAAACAGGAUUAGAUACCCUGGUAGUCCACGCCCUAAACGAUGUCUACUAGUUGUCGGGUCUUAAUUGACUUGGUAACGCAGCUAACGCGUGAAGUAGACCGCCUGGGGAGUACGGUUGCAAGAUUAAAACUCAAAGGAAUUGACGGGCGNGAGAGNGCGACGGACGACGACGAGGGAGGAGG
rnacentral:rRNA from 1 species